rnacentral:rRNA from 1 species
AUAAGGGUGACAGCGUUAGUCGGAAUAACUGGGCGUAAAGCGUGCGUAGGUGGUUCGUUAAGUCCGAUGUGAAAUGCCCCGGGCUCAACCUGGGAACUGCAUUGGAUACUGAGCGCGACUAGAGUAGUGGUAGAGGGUGGUCGGAAUUCCUGGUGUAGCGGUGAAAUGCGUAGAUAUCAGGAGGAACAUCCGUGGNGAAGGCGACCACCUGGACCAAUACUGACACUGAGGCGCGAAAGCGUGGGGAGCAAACAGGAUUAGAUACCCUGGUAGUCCACGCCCUAAACGAUGCUAACUGGAUGUUGGGUGCAAUAGGCUCUCAGUGGUCGCAGCUAACCGCCGUUAAGUUUGAAGCCCGGCCCUUGGGGGGGGAAGUUAUACCCNGGGCUCGGGCCCAAAAGGGGUUAAGAA